rnacentral:rRNA from 1 species
GAUGAACGCUGGCGGCGUGCCUAAUACAUGCAAGUCGAGCGAACGGACGAGAAGCUUGCUUUUCUGAUGUUAGAGGCGGACGGGUGAGUAACACGUGGAUAACCUACCUAUAAGACUGGGAUAACUUCGGGAAACCGGAGCUAAUACCGGAUAAUAUUUUGAACCGCAUGGUUCAAAAGUGAAAGACGGUCUUGCUGUCACUUAUAGAUGGAUCCGCGCUGCAUUAGCUAGUUGGUAAGGUAACGGCUUACCAAGGCAACGAUGCAUAGCCGACCUGAGAGGGUGAUCGGCCACACUGGAACUGAGACACGGUCCAGACUCCUACGGGAGGCAGCAGUAGGGAAUCUUCCGCAAUGGGCGAAAGCCUGACGGAGCAACGCCGCGUGAGUGAUGGAGGUCUUCGGAUCGUAAAACUCUGUUAUUAGGGAAGAACAUAUGUGUAAGUAACUGUGCACAUCUUGACGGUACCUAAUCAGAAAGCCACGGCUAACUACGUG